GACGAACGCUGGCGGCGUGCUUAACACAUGCAAGUCGAACGGAAAGGCCCUGCUUUUGUGGGGUUCUCGAGGGGCGAACGGGUGAGUAACACGUGAGUAACCUGCCCUUGACUUUGGGAUAACUUCAGGAAACUGGGGCUAAUACCGGAUAGGAGCUCCUGCUGCAUGGUGGGGGUUGGAAAGUUUCGGCGGUUGGGGAUGGACUCGCGGCUUAUCAGCUUGUUGGUGGGGUAGUGGCUUACCAAGGCUUUGACGGGUAGCCCGCCUGGGAGGGUGACCGGCGACAUUGCGACUGAGAUACGGCCCAGUCUCCUACGGGAGGCAGCAGUGGGGAAUAUUGCACAGUGGGCGGACGCCUGAUGCAGCAACGCUGCGUGCGGGAUGACGGCCUUCGGGUUGUAAACCGCUUUCGCCUGUGACGAAGCGUGAGUGACGGUAAUGGGUAAAGAAGCACCGGCUAACUACGUG
rnacentral:rRNA from 1 species